CGAAUGCGAUAAGUAAUGUGAAUUGCAGAAUUCAGUGACAUCAUCGAAUCUUUGAACGCACCUUGCGCUCCUUGGUAUUCCGAGGAGCAUGCCUGUUUGAGUGUCAUGAAAUUCUCAAACCCAUAAGUCUUUGCGGGCUUACGGGCUUUGGACUUGGAGGCUUGUCGGCGACCGUGAGGUCACAUCGACUCCUCUCAAAUGCAUUAGCUUGAUUCCUUGCGGAUCGGCUCUCGGUGUGAUAAUUGUCUACACCGUGACCGUGAAGCGUUUUGGCAAGCUUCUAACCGUCUCUAACGAGACAGCUUACUUUGACCUCUGACCUCAAAUCAGGUAGGACUACCCGCUGAACUUAAGCAUAUCAAUAAGCGGAGG
rnacentral:rRNA from 1 species